ACGUGGCCGAUGAUACAGGAGAUGAUGUUGUACUGAGUCAAAUUCCGUCUCCUGUAUCGUUGAAGGUCUUGGUAUGACGCGGGGAGGUUUUAAUCGGUAGACGCCGGACCGAACUUCGGCUCGGGGCGGCGAAUCCGACACUGCCCGGGAUGGUUCCCCGGGCGUCUUUUGAAGAUUUCCUCCUCGUUAACA
rfam:Trachymyrmex cornetzi contig27987, whole genome shotgun sequence.